CAAUGACCCAGCAGGCAGGGAGCAAGGAAAUUAACAGUCUUACCUCAUUCUCCUAUCAACCCCAAUCUGCCACCAGGCUUCCCACUGACAGAACCUCAUGGAACCUAGAGGGCAAGGGAUUCAGUAGACACGGUCCAUGCAGGAGAAUGAUAAGGGGAGAGAGUAAGAAAGCAAUGAGAUACACAUGUCUUGACUGCUUCUCUUCAUGCUGAAAUCCUGGGGGAAAGAAGUGCUAAAUCAGUUGAGGACAUGGGAACAUUUAUUCUGGCCUCACCUCCAACACAGGAGACCACAUUUCAACAAAAGUUUUGGGGGAGAAAACAUCGAACUGUAGCAUAUACAUACUCGGCAAUUAUUCCAAAUAAUACAAAAUGAUUUACCAAAUAGGAAGAAAUUUGGGUACAGAGACAGACAAGCACCAAGAGAAGAUGAUGUGAAGAAGCACAGCGAGAACACCAUGUGAAAAUGGAGGACUGGAAUGAAGCAUCUACAAGCCAGGAAAUGUCUGAGGCUACCAGAAGCCAGGAGAGAGGCCUGGAACAGAUCCUGCACUAGAACCUUCAAAGAGAGCAUGGUCCUGCUGACAUGUUGAUUUUGGACUUCUGGCCUCCAGAGCUGUGAGAAUAAAUUUCAGUUGUUUUAAGCCAUCCAGUUUUUGGUACCUUAUUAUGGCAGCCCUAGCAAACUAAUAUAGACUCCGAUAAGAAUUCAACUGAUAUAUGCCAUGAAAUUUAGUAUAUCAUCAGGACUGGGAGAAACUGGUAACUUUAUAGGUGAAUAUGAAAGAUGAUAGGGAUAACUG
rnacentral:lncRNA from 1 species